rnacentral:snRNA from 1 species
GUCCCUUCGGGGACAUCUGAUAAAAUUGGAACGAUACAGAGAAGAUUAACAUGGCCCCUGCACAAGGAUGACACGCACAAAUCGAGAAAUGGUCCAAAUUUUUUUUGACAUUUUUUUCCUUCAGAAUUUCUCUUUGAUUUUUACUCAUUUAAUACAAUGUAAAUGCAAAGAAUAAUAUAUAGCUGAAUACUAACAGAAACAACAAUGUUAUUGAAUCAAAUAAAACUCGUGUAUUUCCUUUGUAAUUGGAUU